CGAGGAUCUCCUCAAUCCCGCCGUCACGUCUUCCAUUGAGGAAGCAGAGGAUGAGGGCUCAGAGGUGGACUCGUCCAUCACCCGGGCUGAAGUCACAGAGGUGGUCAAGAAACUCCUCGGUGGCAAGGCACUGGGGGUGGAUGAGAUCCGCCCUGAGUACCUCAAGUCUCUGGAUGUUGUGGGGCUGUCUUGGCUGACACGCCUGUGCAACAUUGCGUGGCGGUCGGGGACAGUGCCUUUGGGAUGGCAGACCGGGGUGGUGGUCCGUCUUUUUAAGAAGGGGGACCGGAGGGUGUGUUCCAACUAUAGGGGGAUCACACUUCUCAGCCUCCCCGGGAAAGUCUAUGCCAGGGUUCUGGAGAGGAGAAUACGGCCGAUAGUAGAACCUCGGAUUCAGGAGGAACAGUGUGGUUUUCGUCCGGGCCGUGGAACACUGGACCAGCUCUAUACCCUCUACAGGGUGUUGGAGGGUUCAUGGGAGUUUGCCCAACCAAUCCACAUGUGUUUUGUGGAUUUGGAGAAGGUAUUCGACUGUGUCCCUCGUGGCAUCCUGUGGAGAGUGCUUCGGGAAUAUGGGGUCCUGGGUCCUUUGCUAAGGGCUGUCAGGUCCCUGUACAACUGAAGUAGGAGCUUGGUCCGCAUUGCCGGCAGUAAGUCAGACUUGUUCCCAGUGCAUGUUGGACCCAGGCAGGGCUGCCCUUUGUUGCCGGUUCUGUUCAUAAUUUUGAUGGACAGAAUUUCUAGGCGCAGCCAGGGGCCGGAGGGUGUCAGGUUUGGACACCACACGAUUUCGUCUCUGCUCUUUGCGGAUGAUGUUGUCGUGUUGGCCCCUUCAAACCAGGACCUUCAGCAUGCACUGGGACGGUUUGCAGCCGAGUGUGAAGCGGUGGGGAUGAGAAUCAGUACCUCCAAAUCCAAGGCCAUGGUCCUCAGUCGGAAAAGGGUGGCUUGCCCACUUCAGGUUGGUGGAGAGUGCCUGCCUCAAGUGAAGGAGUUUAAGUAUCUAGGGGUCUUGUUCACGAGUGAGGGAAGGAUGGAACGGGAGAUUGACAGACGGAUCGGUGCAGCUUCUGCAGUAAUGCGGUCGAUGUAUCGGUCUGUCGUGGUGAAGAAAGAGCUGAGCCGCAAGGCGAAGCUCUCGAUUUACCGGUCAAUCUACGUUCCUACUCUCACCUAUGGUCAUGAGCUUUGGGUCAUGACCGAAAGGACAAGAUCCCGGAUACAGGCGGCCGAAAUGAGCUUUCUCCGCAGGGUGGCCGGGCGUUCUCUUAGAGAUAGGGUGAGAAGCUCGGUCACCCGGGAGGAGCUCAGAGUAGAGCCGCUGCUCCUCCACAUCGAGAGGGGUCAGCUGAGGUGGCUUGGGCAUCUGUUUCGGAUGCCUCCGGAACGCCUUCCUGGGAAGGUGUUCCGGUCCCGUCCCACCGGGAGGAGACCCCGGGGAAGACCUAGGACACGCUGGAGGGACUAUGUCUCCCGGCUGGCCUGGGAACGCCUCGGUGUCCCCCCGGAAGAGCUGGAGGAAGUGUCUGGGGAGAGGGAAGUCUGGGCAUCUCUGCUUAGACUGCUGCCCCCGCGACCCGGCCUCGGAUGAAGCGGAAGAAGAUGAUGUGUGUGAUAACAGUUAUAUUUCCCUGAUAUUAUAUCAAUAACUACUGUCAUGCAUAACAUAACCCAUAC
ensembl:lncRNA